ensembl:misc_RNA Y_RNA Y RNA
GGAUAGUUCAAGUGCAGUGGUGUUUACAACUAACUGAUCACAACCACGUAUGGAGUUCUUUCUCUACUCCCACUGCUUCACUUGACUAGCCAAAA